rnacentral:rRNA from 1 species
CCCUUAGAUGUUCUGGGCUGCACGCGUGCUACACUGAUAUUGUCAAUAUGUCAUUCUUAUCCGAAAUGGAUUGGGUAAUCAAGUAAUGAAAUUUCAUGCUUGGAAUCGGUAAUUGCAAUUUUAUCGUGAACGAGGAAUUCCUAGUAAGCACUAGUCAUCAGCUAAUGUUGAUUAUGUCCCUGCCCUUUGUACACACCGCCCGUCGCUACUACUGAUUGGGUGUUCAAGUGAGAUGCUUAGACCCUUGUUGCAUGGUUCAUUAUUGUGCUCCGAAAGGAAAAAGUUUCAAGCUUGAGUGUCUAGAGGAAGUAAAAGUCGUAACA